AGUCUUCUCUGAAGCCAAUCAGAAACACCUGCACCAUGUACAAGCUGGUCCUGGUUGUGCUGACUCUGGCUCUGCUGGCCGUGGCGUCGGCGCAGCUGGUGCGUUAUGGCUACGGCUACUCGGCUUACAGCCCAUACUACGGAUACACCGCGCCCUACGCCUACGCCAGGGCCCUGGGCUACUCAUACCCCUACCUCGGCUAAAAAGAAAUGUGAACCGGGCAAGAAGAUCACGAUGUACAGUUCACUGAUGGCUCAUCAUGUAGUUUAAAACCUAAAUAAACAUAUUCGUACUCUUC